rnacentral:lncRNA from 1 species
GUUUGAGGGCGGCCUAACAUUCUUCAUGGCUGGCCUUUUGGGCUUCCUGGACCAGAACUUAUCGCCUUUCUGAAAUGGCAUAUGUUACGAAACCAUAAUACAAAUGAAGCAUAAAGAGUAAAGACCAAAGGCGGGUUAGGUUUGUUCACCUUGGGCGCCGGGUUAAUUUUGCAGAAAGGCUUGAGGCCGAUUUGGCCGCAUUUUCCCGCAGGCUCGCCAGUUAGCUUUUUGAUUAUGGUAACAAUGUCCUUUUCUGUUAAAGCCGUAUGGAAAUAACAUUGAGGAUGAUCCAGGGUG